GGGUGGCUUGGUGAGGCGGUCUAACCCGUCAAAUAUGCUCUUCCACACAUACUGAAGGCUGGAGGCCCAGCUCUGCGCCAGCUUCACGUGUGCCCAUGGAGGAGCUUGCCCAGACCUGCACACUGAGGAGAACCGUUUGCAGGGCACGUCGCUCCUGCACCCCCAGCCUGCAAGAUGAAGCAACCCUUCAGCCCAGCUAUCCUUCAGGACCCCCUCAAGCAGCAGCGGUAGGCAGGGUUCUUGAGUUCAACAAGCCCAAGUCAGAUCACUACAGGAAGAAUUUCUUCUAAGGAGAGAAUCAAAUGAAGCGGCAAGGAAAUCAUUCAGAGCACCUACUACCAAUCUCUCUUUGAUUGACAAGAAAGAACAGGACAGAAGAAUCUCUGGAGACUUUACUGCUGUUUGUAAGUACAACUGACAAUCUUUUUUGACUUCUGUAU